rnacentral:misc_RNA from 1 species
CUUUGCCUUCUUAGUUGAAAUUGAUUUUGUGUGCUCUGCCCAUGAUGAGAAUGAUUGAAAUUUUAUAAGGCAAAACUGGAAAAGAUGAAAUUGUUAAUGAACGGUGUUACUGAAUUUCUUUAAAAUUGUUAUGUGGAGGAUUAAUUUUGGUGGUUCUGUUAAAUGAGACAUUAGGAUUUCUGAAUCGUAGGGGAAAUGCUGGUUGUGAGUGCAGUUGAUGAAUUGGUAUGUUGGGUGUAUCCACUGCAUGAAAUUUGUUUUGGUCUGUGCAUUCUUUAGUGGAACUGGAACAUGAGUGCCUUUACGUUGACAGUUGUUGUUAAUGGACACCGACCUUUUUUUCCCCCAAAAGGAUUAUCCUCGUCAACACCUUUCCUUUUGGAUCUUAAUGGUUGUAAAUCUUGUGCUUGUUAUGGUUUUCUCGACUUGCUCAUUCAGCAACUAAUGCGCUUGUUUAUAAUGUCUAGUGUGGUUCAGGAGGUGAUUAAGAUGCAAUCUGUCCAGCAUUUUUUGGAACCUAUUCUGGAGCCAUUGAU